GACGAACGCUGGCGGCGUGCUUAACACAUGCAAGUCGAACGGAAAGGCCCUGCUUUUGUGGGGUGCUCGAGUGGCGAACGGGUGAGUAACACGUGAGUAACCUGCCCUUGACUUUGGGAUAACUUCAGGAAACUGGGGCUAAUACCGGAUAGGAGCUCCUGCUGCAUGGUGGGGGUUGGAAAUUUUCGGCGGUUGGGGAUGGACUCGCAGCUUAUCAGGUUGUUGGUGGGGUAGUGGCUUACCAAGGUUUUGACGGGUAGCCGGCCUGAGAGGAUGACCGGCCACAUUGGGACUGAGAUACGGCCCAGACUCCUGCGGGAGGCAGCAGUGGGGGAUAUUGCACAAUGGGCGGAAGCCUGAUGCAGCAACGCCGCGUGCGGAAUGACGGCCUUCGGGUUGUAAACCGCUUUCGCCUGUGACGAAGCGUGAGUGACGGUAAUGGGUACAGAAGCACCGGCUAACUACGUG
rnacentral:rRNA from 1 species